GGCGGCGGGCGGAGGCGUGGCCAGGCAGUAUAAGAACGGAGGGGGCGGCGGCGCUACGGCUCAUUCGGUGCAGCUGCCUGGGGGCUGUAGUGUCCGCGCCGCUCCUGCUGGGGGCUGCCCACGCCAAAGACCUGC
ensembl:miRNA eca-mir-8970 eca-mir-8970